UACGGAGGGUGCGAGCGUUGUCCGGAAUCAUUGGGCGUAAAGGGCGCGUAGGUGGCCCGGUCAGCGUGCGGUGAAAGCUCGGGGCUCAACCCCGAGUCGGCCGUGCGAACUGCUGGGCUUGAGCACUGUAGAGGCAGGCGGAAUUCCGGGUGUAGCGGUGGAAUGCGUAGAGAUCCGGAAGAACACCGGUGGCGAAGGCGGCCUGACUGGGCCAGUGGCUGGACACUGGAGGCGCGACAGCGUGGGGAGCAAACAGGG
rnacentral:rRNA from 1 species